rnacentral:lncRNA from 1 species
AGAGUACAUGACCACAGAUAAUUUAUUGGGAUGAUAAGUACCUCAGGAUAUUGAAGACAUAUUGGGAGGAGUAAAAGUAAAAAGCAAAUACAUGGGAAAAUAGCAGAGAAAUGGAAAUGAUAGAAAUAUAAGAAGUGACAACUUUUCAUAAAGCAUAUUUAUGUUGAAUUAAUAAUGAAUAAGAUUCUUUUUCACUCAUCGAGAGUUAUGAACUAUGAAAUCACUUUUUAACUAUUCUUCAGAGGACUUGAAUAAAAAGUGAAAACAUCUAUUGUUAGGAGUUCAUAUUGACUAGUUAAAUAAGACUUUUUCAUAAAAGAAUUUCGUAUUUUAAAAUCCUCUUUUAAUUUCCAAAUAUCUACCAAGAAUUUUUUUUAUAGAAGUUACCUAAUAUUUUAUAAAAUAAAUUUAAUUGUGUGUUUACAUUAUAGGAUUUACAAAUAUGUUCUAAAUUAGAACAUAAGCUACAGAAAUUAUAAUGAAAAUAUCAUAAAUUUGAAAUGAACUUUUGGAUGUUUGCACUGGAUUUACAUAUUUCCAUAAUAUAAAUAUUACUAUUAUUUUCUAUAUACACAUAAUGAUUAUUUUAGAGAGCCUAUGAAAUUUAGUUUUGUGUGCCACCAAAUUUUGGGAAGAACAAAUGUAAAAUUAUAGCUGGGCUUCUUAUAUUCUAUGAUACACAAAAUUCUAGAUAUAGAUAUGAGAAUACCAAUUUUAAGGCUUGAUAUAAACUUUUCUAUGCCAAUUACAAGUAGAAUAAUAGAGAUAAUAUGAACCACAUUUUUUCAAUUUUGACUUAAUUUUAGCUUUUAACUUCAUAUAAUUUUGAGAUUUAAAAUGUUAAAACUUGUUUUAAAAUAGAAGCAGCACAGAAUCACGCUAAUUAUUGAGGAAGAGUUACCUGGACUUAUCUUCUUUCUUUAAAUACUUCAAACAAACAAUGAAUGUGUGUCAAAAUGUGUGUGUGUGUGUGUUGCAUUUAUUAAAUACAGAUUAAAUCUUUAAAAAGAAUAUAUUGGAGUUCCUGCUGUGGCUCAAUUGCUGAAGAACCCAACUAGUAUCCAUGAGGAUGCAGGUUUGAUCCCUGGCCUUGCUCAUGGCUUAAGGAUCUGGCAUUGCCACAAGCUGUCAUGGAGGUUGCAGAUGCAUCUUAGACCUGGUGUUGUGGCUGUGGCCUAGACUAGCAGCUGCAGCUCUGAUUUGAACUCUAGCCUAGGAACUUCCAUAUGCUGCAGGUGCAGCACUAAAAAUAAUAAUAAUAAUAAUUAAUUUUUAAGAAUAAAAAGAAUAUAUUAAGCAAAGACCCUUUCUUUAAAGUCAUUUGUUUCUUCAAUUUUGGAACUAUUGGAAAUUUAGAAGCUCAUUCAGUGCCUAGAGCAUGUUGUUCAAGAGAGAGAUGGAUUCUGAGGCCAAGACUGCCAUGAGAUACAUGUACAGCAGGCCAGGUAUGGAGUCUACAUAUGAAUUUUUGAAAACUAAUUUCAAAUUUUAUUAAAUACUUAGUAGGUUUCAUAAGGAAGCUGGACAGGAGGACUGAAGACAGAGUUUAAGCAAUGAUAAGUAUACAGGUCAUACAGAUAUAUUAAUGUCUUGUAAUCUGAGGAUCAGGACCAGCUUUUACAAUACAGGGUUGGUUUUGUUGUGGUUGUUUUUGUUGUUUUAAAUAAAUUAUCUAAGAAAAAAGAGUUGAGGGACCUAGAGUCAGAAAGAAUGCUAUCUAAACUUUAUUCAAGCCAAGGGGAAUGUUAAAUUCUAGUCAAGUUCCAUGCCUGUGUGUGUUUGCCAGAACUCAUAGAAUCUUACUCCUAAAAGGGUGAAUUUCACUAUGUGCAAAUUAUUUUACUGUAUGCUCAAUAAACACCUAACAUUAAAAAAAAAUGGAGCAGUGAAAAAUAUCAUUAUUGCUGUAGAAUGGGAGGCAGUAAGGUCAUAAUGUCAUAGGGAAAGGGGAAAGAGAGAUUAUAACCUCACAAGAAGUGAGUCCUUUUCUAUUCCAUGUAUGGACCAUCUAUCAUUUUCAUUAGUGACAUGGUAAUUAAUUAACUUAAUUUAUUCAUGAGAUAUUGGGUCUUUGCUCAGAAAUACAGAACAGAGACCCUAGCUGUUAUAGACAAAAUAUUUGUUUGCAUAUCUUUCUGUUUAUUAAAUUGUUAAGAAAAGCAGGAAGCUGUGACCCAGAGGAACAUACAUGAUUAAAAUCAAUACACUGAUGUAUCCAGAUGCUAUACCACACACACUCUUCUAGUUUCAUGGAGUUGAAGCAAUUGUUCUAUUCUUUCAGCGACAACUGAUGUACAUGGUUAUGGUGAAAAGCAUCUCAGGAGGAGUGAACUUUGCUUUAUGUCAUGUGCUUCUUAGAAUAUAAGAGUAUAGCAGCAGAAAAAGUCAAGAGUUUUUGUACAUUGAUUCCUGUACUGCUGUAUGCUUUAUUAAUUCCAGGAUUGGAGAGUAUCUACUCUCCUUGUAGAGGCAACUGGAGGGCAAAGUUCUCAUUUUCACCAGGGAGUGAGGGACAAGAGGUUGGGGGUGCAGGAGACAAGGAGUUAGGGGUGCAAGGGACCAGGAUCUCCAAGGAACAGCAUGCUUUCUGCAUCUUGUUAACAGGUUCCUCCAGGACCCCUCUCCUCUGCCCACCCCCCUUUAGCCUCUUCAUUGAAAAUACAAAAGGCUCAUUUAUCAGCACCAGUAGGCAAAAGCAUCACAGAACCAAUCAAUCAACACAAAUAUUUCCUCUCCAAGGCUCCUUAUGACCUUGACGAGUGUGACAAAUGACUCCAAGGAUGGAACAGACAGAAGUUUCAUGAUAAACCAAAAAAA